ACACGACGUAAGGGAUAAAAACAGAACGUAGAAUUGGAGUUGCCGUUGGAAAUGCCGAGAGAAAGAGAGAGAGGAGACAGAGUAGAAGCAAAGAGAAGUCUGUGACGUUUAUUUCAGAAAGCUACGACGGCUCUUGGUAGCGACCGGAGGCGACGGGCGGACACACCGGCGGCGUUGUAAACGAGCAAAGUUUCGAACCCAAUAUGCUGUCUCCGCGCAUGGAAAGCCCACAUUCAACCUGUCAAGAUAGCUAUAUCAAACAAUCCAAACAAAAGCGGCUUUGGUGCGGUCAAAACGGACUUUCCUACGAUCGAAUUGGAUUCGAACAUCGAGAAAAAGCAGGCAAGAUGGCGAAAGACUCAACAACGUUACAAUCAAAUUACGGAAUAAUCGCUAGGAGAAAACGUUCCAAUCGUAUUUCAACGAUUCUCAUUAUAUUUUCGUUAACGAGAUUCUAAUGAAGAUAUUGUUGAUUCUAAUAAUAAAUAUAAAUAAAUGACAAGGCAAUUUUGAAUCUUCGUACUUUAUCGAAGAUCUUUUCAAGUUUGUCAAAAAGGAAGAAGAAGAAGAAGGAGAAGAUCGCUUCUGGAUCCAUAACGACGCAGCUUCUCUAGCAAGCCCACUCGUUCUCCGAUGAUAUUUAUAAAGCAAACUUGGCGGUGCAAAGACCUCGCAAGGGAGUAAGUAAGAAAGAGAUAGAUAGAUAGAUAGAUAGAUGGAGAGAGAGAGAGAGAGAGAGAGAGAGAGAGAGAGAGAA